rnacentral:lncRNA from 1 species
AUGGAGGAUGGCUACAAAGGUAAAAUCCUCCACUUCCUGCAGGGUGCCUCAGUUGGUGAGCUCACUCUGAUUCCUCAGUGCUCCCAGAAAAAGGCUCAGAAGAUAGCAGAACUCCGGCCCUUUAACAGUUGGGAAGCUCUGUUCACAAAGAUGUCCAAAACUAAUGGCUUAUCAGAGGAUUUGAUAUGGAACUGUAAGACACUGAUCCAAGAAAGGGAUGUAGUUAUAAGACUUAUGAACAAAUGUGAAGACAUUUCAAAUAAAUUGACAAAGCAAGUUACCAUGCUCACUGGAAAUGGAGGUGGAUGGAACAUAGAACAACCGUCCAUUCUAAACCAAAGGUAAUAUUUAUUAAACACUGUCAUUUAUCUCAGUUAUAAAAAUAUUUGACCUUAUUUUUGCAGUGUGCCUAGGGACAUUAAAUAAGAUGCCACAGCUAUUGUCAGGAAAGAACCCCCACCCCUAUUCCUACAAUGGCAUGUCGUGGUGUAUGAAUGGUUUCUCACUGAUUUU